GAUGAACGCUGACAGAAUGCUUAACACAUGCAAGUCUACUUGAACUUCGGUUUGGGUGGCGGACGGGUGAGUAACGCGUAAAGAACUUGCCUCACAGAUAGGGACAACAUUUGGAAACGAAUGCUAAUACCUGAUAUUAUGAUUUUAGGGCAUCCUAGAAUUAUGAAAGCUAUAUGCACUGUGAGAGAGCUUUGCGUCCCAUUAGCUAGUUGGAGAGGUAACGGCUCACCAAGGCGAUGAUGGGUAGCCGGCCUGAGAGGGUGAUCGGCCACGAGGGGACUGAGACACGGCCCUUACUCCUACGGGAGGCAGCAGUGGGGAAUAUUGGACAAUGGACCAAGAGUCUGAUCCAGCAAUUCUGUGUGCACGAUGAAGUUUUUCGGAAUGUAAAGUGCUUUCAGUUGGGAAGAAAAAAAUGACGGUACCAACAGAAGAAGUGACGGCUAAAUACGUG
rnacentral:rRNA from 1 species